AAGAUCUCUAUUAUCAGUGAAGAAAUUGGAUCUUUCUGUCAUGAUUUUUGAAUUUAUUGCCUCAUUUGCUGCAUUUCCUGUGUUUUUACUCUCGUUUAUCCAUUUAGGGUUUUGUUUAUGUGGUUAAAACUGUUUAAUAACAUCCAUUAUAUGAGCCCCCUCAAUAUCUCCUUAGCACGCCAAAAUAAAAAUUUAAGUCGAUCCAAACUCAGGUGGGCCACCAUGUAAAAUCAUGCCUAAAGCAUCUCAAAUCACGUGGUGUGGCCCACCUUAGUCUUGGAAUGGACUGAUGUUUGGUGUGUCCGUCUAUCCUGCUUGGGUGCAUCUUCCAAAUGGAUUGGAUGGCAGAUUUGAAACACGAUGGCUCUACAUAUAAUGUGGAAAGUUUUUAAUGAUGAGCAACCUCACCUCAACUGCCCCCUAUGGUUUGGCCCACCAGAGCUUUGGGUUGGUCUGAUUUUUCGGCACCAACGAGAUUGCAAGGUGGAUGGAUUGCAACACGCAAAUGGUAUCCAGCAUCAAAGAAUGUUGUUGGAAGCUUUUUGCAGUUCUGAUUUUUCUUUUUUGUUGGUUUGAUAUUCUUUGAUAUUGAUAUGUAAACUCCAAGAACUGCAACAUUUGUUGUUUGCUACAGAGGACUUGGAUGAUACUGUGGCAGGGUAUGGUGGAUGAUAAUCAUUCAUGUAACCACCAUGCACAUGGUCUGCAUUUUGCUUUUUGUGGAUAUGUUUCAACUCCGACUGUCCAAAUUAUGGUAGUGCUGUAAUGGAGUGUAUGUUGGAUUGAUUAUAAUUCUUCCAUCAUUGGGAAUCAGCUGGCUAGCUAGAAUGAGAAAUUCCCAACUGAUAGAAUUCAAUAGGCAUGUCCAUUGAUUGGACAUUAUGAUUGUCAAGUCAGUGUGUUUUUGUGGCAAUGACCCACCCCAGUGGGUCCACACAUUGGACUGCCUGGAGUGAGUACGUGUCUGUAUCUUCCAGGUGGAUUCAUGCACAAUAUGGUCCAUCAUACUCUGCCCUCAGUAUCGUACAAUUCUUCUUUUCUAAAAAUGCAUGCAUGGAAUCACCACUGUUUAUGAAUAGCUACAGAUAUUCUUCUAAUUGCAUUAUAAUACAAAGUGCUCUGCCCUUCUGAAACAAUCAUGGAUAAUUCACGAAAUUUUUUAGGAAAAAGGAUUUUACUGAGUAAUUCACAAAUUAUCUGCCAGCUAUGAAUUAUUCACAAAUGAGUGUCAAGCUAACUUCAUAAGCAACAAGGGACCUGAGCUGUUGACUAUGUGGUUUGGACAGAGUGAGGCUAAUGUGAGGGAGAUAUUUGAUAAAGCUCGCCAAUCAGCUCCGUGUGUGCUUUUCUUUGAUGAGCUUGAUUCAAUUGCAACCCAGUGUGCACAGAGAGUUGGUGCAAACACAUCUUCGAAGUCCCACCAUCCAACAAUUUGUGGGUGGGAAUAUUAGCAUGCAUUUCAAACUUGAGUAUUAAGAAUUCAAAUUUCAAAAUGCCUAUGAAUUCCUGCCAGCUGCCAUUAAAUGGUGGGAGUUGAUGAAUUGUUUGGUCCUUCUAUAUGAUGGUUGGCUUUAAUGUAUAUUUUUUAGUUGUGGCAGUGUAAAUUUUUUAGUCCACAGAAAUCUCAUCGAGGGGCCAAAGCAUUUGGAUAUGUUUGAAGUUGAUUCACGCUUCCACUGCCGCCAUUUCUAGGACUGAUUGACGCCUCACCUGCACUAGUACCUACAUGGUUAGAAGCUCAUAUUGGAUGAAAAUGGCUGUCGAUCGAAGUCUACAGGCAUGCUCCAUCCACACCGAGAUCCAUCAAGUCAAGUCUGGAUUACCACCUGCACUGCUUGUAGAGACCCAAGACAAUUUUCACACCCCGAUGCACCAUGGUGCCCAUUGCUUCUGUUCUACUCAUGGAUGCUUGACUUUCACUCCGCUUGCUCCCUACUCUACUGUCAGUGCUCUUGUCCCUUUGAUCCUCAUGAUCAAGGUCAGCAUGGUGAAAGAGGCCAUCGAAUAUUGGAAGCGGAA